CUGCUUUUUAGACCUGAAUCCAAGCCUCAUUUUUUUGGGCCACAUGUACUCAAGAAAUGAAUGGUACAAAUGCAUAGCAUGGACAAAAGAACAGACUGAAAGCAGAGCAUAUAAAGAAGGUUUCUAUUACUGGUAUUUGGAAGCUGGGCCAAAUCAUACGUGCUGUGGAGAUCCUUGUACAACUUGGAGCUAUGUUUUGGAGUCUUGCAUUCUUGCAAAAGGUAUCCUUCCGGAACCCCAAAGUGGAUAUUUACUUGACAUGUAUUUCUUAUGCAAUGAGAGUGUGGUCAUAUCCAGAUCAUCUAAUAUAGAAGAACCCACAUGGAGCUACUUUUGGUAGACUGGAGCAGUGGUGCAGGUCUUCUUUCUUUGGCCCCAAGCAAAUUAUGAGCAAGGACUCUGAGAGAUAUUUAAAAGAAGAAAAAAAAGAUGCAUUAUCAAGAGCUAACCACACUUUUCCAGUGCACCUCUGUUUCUUGCAGUUACUAGUCUUUUCUUCUGCCCCUACAUUCUCACAACAAUAAAGCAAGCUUGACAGUUAAUCA
rnacentral:lncRNA from 1 species